rnacentral:rRNA from 1 species
ACUUCGGUGUGAGUAGAGCGGCGGACGGGUGAGUAAUGCUUGGGAAUCUACCUAGUAGUGGGGGACAACGUGUGGAAACGCACGCUAAUACCGCAUACGUCCUACGGGAGAAAGCAGGGGACCUUCGGGCCUUGCGCUAUUAGAUGAGCCCAAGUCGGAUUAGCUAGUUGGUGGGGUAAUGGCUCACCAAGGCUACGAUCCGUAGCUGGUCUGAGAGGAUGAUCAGCCACACUGGGACUGAGACACGGCCCAGACUCCUACGGGAGGCAGCAGUGGGGAAUAUUGCACAAUGGGCGAAAGCCUGAUGCAGCCAUGCCGCGUGUGUGAAGAAGGCUCUAGGGUUGUAAAGCACUUUCAGUGGGGAGGAAAAGUUCAAAACUAAUAUUUUUGAACCUUGA